rnacentral:siRNA from 1 species
GAAAGCUUCGUUUUGUUUAGAUUA